UACCAGCACCCCGAGUGGUCGGGACGUUUAUUGGGCCUAAAGCAUCCGUAGCCGGUUCUACAAGUCUUCCGUUAAAUCCACCUGCUUAACAGACGGGCUGCGGAAGAUACUAUAGAGCUAGGAGGCGGGAGAGGCAAGCGGUACUCGAUGGGUAGGGGUAAAAUCCGUUGAUCCAUUGAAGACCACCAGUGGCGAAGGCGGCUUGCCAGAACGCACUCGACGGUGAGGGAUGACAGCUGGGGGAGCAAACCGG
rnacentral:rRNA from 1 species